CCUGCCAGUAGUCAUAUGCUUGUCUCAAAGAUUAAGCCAUGCAUGUGUAAGUAUAAGUAUUGUACAGCGAAACUGCGAAUGGCUCAUUAAAUCAGUUAUUAUUUACAUGAUAAUCGAAAGUUACAUGGAUAACCGUGACAAAUUACAGCUAAUACAUGCAUUCAGACCUGGUCCAAGGGUCGUAAUUAUUAGUAUUAAACCUCUGCCGCAAGGCGUGUGAUGAAUCAUAAUAAUCGAACGAAUCGCAGAAUUCUGCGAUAAAUCAUUCAAGUUUCUGCCCUAUCAGCUUUGGAUGGUAGUGUAUUGGACUACCAUGGCAGUCACGGGUAACGGAGAAUUAGGGUUCGAUUCCGGAGAGGGAGCCUGAGAAACGGCUACCACAUCUACGGAAGGCAGCAGGCGCGAAAAUUGCCCAAUCCCGACACGGGGAGGCAGUGACAAGAAAUAACAACUCUUGGAUUUCUAAGAAGUGUAAUGAGGAUAAUUUACAACCCUUACCGAAAGCAAUUGGAGGGCAAGUCUGGUGCCAGCAGCCGCGGUAAUUCCAGCUCCAAUAGCAUAUAUUAAAGUUGUUGCAGUUAAAAAGCUCGUAGUUGAAGUUCUGGCUGUUCGAUCCUCGAGCUCUGUAGCCGAGGACUCGACAGUCAUCCGCUUGCAAUUAUAUGUUCUCCUUUAACCGGGAGGCUAUAUGAGUAAGCAUUUUACCUUGAGAAAAACAGAGUGUUCCAGGCAGGUAUGUCCGGAAUGCGUUAGCAUGGAAUAAUAGAAUAUGACUGAAGUCGAUUUAUUGGUUUGAGGCUUUAGUAAUGAUUAAUAGGAACAGUCGGGGGCAUUGGUACUUGACAGUCAGAGGUGAAAUUCUAGGAUUUGUCAAAGACUAACAAAUGCGAAAGCAUUUGCCAAGGAUGUUUUCAUUAAUCAAGAACGAAAGUUAGGGGAUCAAAGACGAUCAGAUACCGUCCUAGUCUUAACUAUAAACUAUACCGACUCGGAUUCGGAUGAAUCAAAAAGUUCAUUCGGGACCGUAGGAGAAAUCAAAGUUUUUGGGUUCUGGGGGAAGUAUGGUCGCAAGGCUGAAACUUAAAGGAAUUGACGGUUUUGCACCACCAUGGAGUGGAGUCUGCGGCUUAAUUUGACCCAACACUGGGAAACUCAUCAGGGCAAGAAGAUUUUAGGAUUGACAGAUUGAGAGUUCUUUCUUGAUUGGUCUAGUGGUGGUGCAUGGCCGUUCUUAGUUGGUGGAGUGAUUUGUCUGGUUAAUUCCGUUAACGAACGAGACCUUAACCUGCUAACUAGUACGUGGAUCUCAAAUCCAUGCUACUUCUUAGAGGGACUAUGUGAUGUAAUCACAUGGAAGUUUGAGGCAAU
rnacentral:rRNA from 1 species